rnacentral:rRNA from 1 species
UACGUAGGGUGCAAGCGUUGUCCGGAAUUAUUGGGCGUAAAGAGCUCGUAGGCGGUUUGUCGCGUCUGCUGUGAAAUCCGGAGGCUCAACCUCCGGCCUGCAGUGGGUACGGGCAGACUAGAGUGCGGUAGGGGAGAUUGGAAUUCCUGGUGUAGCGGUGGAAUGCGCAGAUAUCAGGAGGAACACCGAUGGCGAAGGCAGAUCUCUGGGCCACUACUGACGCUGAGAAGCGAAAGCAUGGGGAGCGAACAGG